AGCCGGUUUGAACCGGCUGAAAAUUUCUGAUGGUUAGCGGCUGAAUGGCUGGCGCCUCCAGCCCAGCCAAAAACCAGCAUCAGGGCCGAAUGCUACAAUCCGCGUGCCUCUGGACUUCCGCCGCCGCCACCGGUCCCUACAUCGGCAAGCUCCCCAGCUCUGGCGCUCACCUCCAGCUCGCCGGAGAUGGCCGGAUCUGGUGGAUCCGGCUCCCCUCUACCUCUCCCACCCCCUUCUUCUUCGUUAUCCAUCCAUUGGAGCAUCCGCCGGCGCUCCUUCCCUAGCGGACGCAGUCGCAGCCGCGGCCAGCCAGGCCGGCACCGUGGCUGGCCCUGCGGCUCCUCUUGUUGGCUCCUUGUCGGUGCGGCCGGCGGCGCCGCCUCCAGCCGGGGGGGCGGCCAGGCUCGUGGCCUCCAGGCAAGGGCGCGCGGCCAGCGUAGCAGCUUCCAGCAGGGGGCACGGCCAGGCAUGCGGCCUCCAGGCAGGGGCUCCUCCCUCGGCGCUCUGAGGACCACCUGCAGCAGCUCCGCCCGCGCCGACACGAGAUCUUCGCGGACCACCGCGCCACCUGAAUGGAGGCUGCCUCCCUCCGCGCGCGGCCUCCCACACGCCGCGGCCACCAAAUCGCUUCCUAUCUAUCCCUCUGGAGUCAAGAGAGACCACCGCUGCACAACCGUAUGGACGCCGCUGUCCCUGGCCUGAAGUCCAAACGAUGGUGCCAUUGCCACCUGUCCAUGGCCUGAAGCCCAAACGUCGCCGUUGCCCAUGGAUACAAGUCGAAGCAACGCCAGCCGCCGGCCACGCCGCGACUACCGUCGUCGUCGCCUCCGGCAGCACACAUGGUCAUGGCGCCUCCGGCAAUGUCACCGGCGGCGGCAUCCACGUGCACCACGCCACGCCGCACCUCCAUCUUCAUCAAAUUGUGGAACAAGAAGAAAGGACAAAAGAAUGGCAUAUCAGAGCAACCGGCUACAUCACGAGUUCAUAACUGCUACAUGUUGACUUCCAGCGACUGAAGAAUCUGAACACAAAUGAUUGCUGCAGAAAGACAAUGCUCAUGGUAUCCUUAUGAAGAAUUCUUGCCUUGAAGAUCAGCUUCUGUGUAUGCGAUGAAUACUCUGAUUCUGCUGAGUAAAACCAUCCUUCUAGAGGUAUGGAAGUUUUUUUCACAUGGAACUUGCGCUAUGGACACACAUUCUAACUGGUUACAUAUGAAAAAGUCACAAAUCUUUUUCCCUUCCUAAACCCUAUUUUUAACUUCCAGAGUUAUAUUACACACGUACCUCGCUGCAGACAUAGCACUCCUUUUUUGCUGCCUUGUCUUUCACAUAGUGGAGCUCCUCCCCCAUCCCUGAAUUGUGAUAUUGGGUCCAGCACUAGUGCGAGUAUGAACACCAGAUUGAGUACCUUGGCACUUUGAUGUGGAGCGUGGUUCUGCGGCAGGUUGGCACAAAUGCUCAGAUGCGAAUUGCCCUGAAGUGGCUGGCAGCAAUGCUGGUCACAUCAUGGCAAAAGGGGUUCCUAUAUGAGCUUGGUGUACAUGCUGUGCUGAAACUGAUGUCGAGCCUCGACAUAGCAAUUCAGGACAAGAUGUGAGCAGAGCAACCAUGGUUGUAUUCAAUCCUUUCUAUCUCAUGUUUCUGGUGUGCCUUGAAAUCGUGGUAAGAUGCUUGAUUCAUAUGCUAUUGGAAAAAUAUGCUUUGGUUCCAUCUGAUUUUGAACUAUCAAUCAAAUGGCAUGAUGUAUUUAUAGGCAGCAAAUUAUCACGGAAAUGUGCUCCCUGUUCACUUGAAGGAGCCACCGGGUUUCAAGUAUUGAGACCGGGUGCGGGAUGUCUGAACUUGGUAGUCAUAUAGAUUUGAUUGUCAUUUAAAAAUCACAUGCCCAAAAUGUGGAGUAAAACUGAUGAGACCAAAUAGAGAUUUUCAGAAAGAUAUCAGCAUAAGACAUUCUCCUUUUUCCCUUUAUUUUUGAAUCCAAUGCUUGUUUGAUAGUCAUUGUUCAGAUCAAUGCUGUAGACUCUUCAACUUUGCACAACUGUGUAAGUCAUCAAAUUGUCUCUUCUUUCUUGAA